rnacentral:rRNA from 1 species
GACGAACGCUAGCGGCAGGCUUAACACAUGCAAGUCGAGGGGCAGCAUAUUUUGUAGUAAUACAAGAUGAUGGCGACCGGCGCACGGGUGCGUAACGCGUAUGCAACCUACCAUAUACAGGGGGAUAAACUUUCGAAAGGGAGCCUAAUACCCCAUAGUAUUAUUUUUAGGCAUCUGAGAAUAAUUAAAGAUUAAUUGGUAUAUGAUGGGCAUGCGUGGCAUUAGCUAGUUGGUAAGGUAACGGCUUACCAAGGGGACGAUGACUAGGGGUUUUGAGAGGAAGAUCCCCCACACUAGUACUGAGAAACGGACCAGACUCCUACGGGAGGCAGCAGUGAGGAAUAUUGGUCAAUGGGCGAGAGCCUGAACCAGCCAUGCCGCGUGCAGGAAGACGGCCCUAUGGGUUGUAAACUGCUUUUAUGUGAGGAUAAACCUAUUCUUGCGAGAGUAGCUGAAGGUAUCACAUGAAUAAGGAUCGGCUAACUUCGUGCCAGCCGCCGCGGUAA